rnacentral:rRNA from 2 species
GAGGCAGCAGUAGGGAUCUUCCACAAUGGACGAAAGUCUGAUGGAGCAACGCCGCGUGAGUGAAGAAGGGUUUCGGCUCGUAAAACUCUGUUGUUAAAGAAGAACAUAUCUGAGAGUAACUGUUCAGGUAUUGACGGUAUUUAACCAGAAAGCCACGGCUAACUACGUGCCAGCAGCCGCGGUAAUACGUAGGUGGCAAGCGUUGUCCGGAUUUAUUGGGCGUAAAGCGAGCGCAGGCGGUUUUUUAAGUCUGAUGUGAAAGCCUUCGGCUCAACCGAAGAAGUGCAUCGGAAACUGGGAAACUUGAGUGCAGAAGAGGACAGUGGAACUCCAUGUGUAGCGGUGAAAUGCGUAGAUAUAUGGAAGAACACCAGUGGCGAAGGCGGCUGUCUGGUCUGUAACUGACGCUGAGGCUCGAAAGUAUGGGUAGCAAACAGGAUUAGAUACCCUGGUAGUCCAUACCGUAAACGAUGAAUGCUAAGUGUUGGAGGGUUUCCGCCCUUCAGUGCUGCAGCUAACGCAUUAAGCAUUCCGCCUGGGGAGUACGGCCGCAAGGCUGAAACUCAAAGGAAUUGACGGGGGCCCGCACAAGCGGUGGAGCAUGUGGUUUAAUUCGAAGCUACGCGAAGAACCUUACCAGGUCUUGACAUACUAUGCAAAUCUAAGAGAUUAGACGUUCCCUUCGGGGACAUGGAUACAGGUGGUGCAUGGUUGUCGUCAGCUCGUGUCGUGAGAUGUUGGGUUAAGUCCCGCAACGAGCGCAACCCUUAUUAUCAGUUGCCAGCAUUAAGUUGGGCACUCUGGUGAGACUGCCGGUGACAAACCGGGAGGAAGGUGGGGGAUGACGUCAAAUCAUCAUGCCCCUUAUGACCUGGGCUACACACGUGCUACAUGGAUGGUACAACGAGUUGCGAACUCGCGAGAGUAAGCUAAUCUCUUAAGC